UAGUCCACGCCGUAAACGAUGAUCACUAGCUAUUGGCGAUACACUGUCAGUGGCACAGCGAAAGUGUUAAGUGAUCCACCUGGGGAGUACGAUCGCAAGGUUGAAACUCAAAGGAAUUGACGGGGGCCCGCACAAGCGGUGGAGCAUGUGGUUUAAUUCGAUGAUACGCGAGGAACCUUACCAGGGCUUAAAUGUAUGUUGACUUAUUGGGAAACCAGUAUUUCUUCGGACAAUAUACAAGGUGCUGCAUGGCUGUCGACAGCUCGUGCCGUGAGGUGUCAGGUUAAGUCCUAUAACGAGCGCAACCCCUUUUGUUAGUUGCCAGCACGUAAUGGUGGGACUCUAGCAAUACUGCCGGCGUAAGCCGCGAGGAAGGUGGGGACGACGUCAAAUCAUCAUGGCCUUUAUGCCUAGGGCGACACACGUGCUACAAUGGUCAGGACAGAGGGUAGCCAAACCCGCGAGGGGGGAGCCAAUCUCAGAAACCUGAUCUCAGUUCGGAUUG
rnacentral:rRNA from 1 species